CUUGCCGGGCCCACAGUUUCAGAUAAGCCGUUCUCAUCAUGUACGGUCGGUUAGUUACACUUCAUAACGAAGGACAAUCACAUCUGGUUAACGGAAUGCUGCCAAAACGAUGAAGCUGGCUUAGCCCUCGAUGACGACGCAACUCCUGCACGUUCGUCGUCAUACUAUCAUUUCAACUGGAGGCAUGUUUGUUUUAGGCGGCUACAACAUGUUGUUUGAACAUGUUGAAUACAACAAACAUGUUGAUAAUGGUGAAUGCUGGAACUCCGUGAUACCCGUUUUCGUGCGCUGAAUAAGGUUUGUAUGAAAAAUAGUGUAUUUUUAGAAUAUUUUAUUUUUCAAUAAAGUAACGGUAAAUUUGAAAUACACUGUGUUGAUAAACAACCCGAAUGAAAGAAAUACACGGAUAAACGAAUGUAAACAAUACACGAAAGAACGGGAGGUCCGUUUCAUCCGUACCCCCCCACGCCCAAUCAUGUCUUCCGUUGGGCGCCUGAGCCAUGCACGGUUGGGCGCCCACCGCAAUUGUGCGAUUUUAAGUGUUGUACGUUUUUAUUAUUAUUUAUUAUGUAAAGUUUUAAUAUCUGUUAAUAAAAUAAUAAGUGCAAAGAGCAGUUCA